rnacentral:ribozyme from 1 species
UACUUUUUUUUUUUUUUUUUUUUUUUUUUUUUUUUUUUUUUUUUUUUUUUUUUCCGCGCUCGCUGCAU